rnacentral:rRNA from 1 species
UACGGAGGAUGCAAGCGUUAUCCGGAAUCAUUGGGCGUAAAGCGCGUGUAGGCGGCCAGAAAAGUCCGCUGUGAAAACUCGAGGCUCAACUUCGAGCUGUCGGUGGAAACUUUCUGGCUAGAGUCCGGAAGAGGAGAAUGGAAUUCCUGGUGUAGCGGUGAAAUGCGCAGAUAUCAGGAAGAACACCCGUGGCGAAGGCGGUUCUCUGGGACGGUACUGACGCUGAGACGCGAAAGCGUGGGGAGCGAACAGG